AUUGAACGCUGGCGGCAGGCUUAACACAUGCAAGUCGAACGAGUGGCGGACGGGUGAGUAAUGUCUGGGAAACUGCCUGAUGGCGGGGGAUAACUACUCGAAACGGUAGCUAAUACCGCAUACCAUCAGAUGUGCCCAGAUGGGAUUAGCUAGUUGGUGGGGUAAUGGCUCACCAAGGCGACGAUCCCUAGCUGGUCUGAGAGGAUGACCAGCCAAACUGGAACUGAGACACGGGCCAGACUCCUACUGUAGGCAGCAGUGGGGAAUAUUGGACAAUGGGCGCAAGCCUGAUGCAGCCAUGCCGCGUGUGUGAUGAAGGCCUUCGUGUUGUAAAGCACUUUCAGCGAGGAUGCGUUACUCGCAGAAGAAGCACCGGCUAACUCCGUGCCAGCAGCCGCGGUAAUUC
rnacentral:rRNA from 1 species